ACAUUGGUGGUUUAGUGGUAGAAUUCUCACCUUUCGUGCAGGAGACCGGGGUUCAAUUCCCAGCCAGUGCG
rnacentral:tRNA from 1 species